AUACUUUUAUAGUUCAUAAGUGUGGUGAUUGGCUGUUCACACACGUAUGAGAUGUGCCACCCUAGAACCUUGUUACAGUGUUAGCACAUUACAAGUCUGACA
ensembl:snoRNA